UGAGUUGAACACUUCAUGACUGAGAGCCAUCCUUCAUGACAACAGAACCCACAACAACCAUGACUUUUAUCACCAUCUUCAUCUGGACACUUGUUUUCUGCUUUCAAGAAGCCAGAGGACAGGUCACUGUGACACAGACUCCUGCAGUGAAAGCUGUUCUCCCAGGACAGACAGUCUCUCUGAACUGUAAAACCAGCAGUAAUGUGUAUGACAAUAUCUACCUAGCCUGUUCAAGUUACGACUUACAAUCUGUUACCUGGUAUCAACAGAAACCUGGAGGAGCUCCUAAACUCCUUAUUUACUAUGCUACAACACUUCAGUCUGGGAUUCCAUCUAGAUUCGUUGGCAGUGGAUCUGGGAGUGACUUCACUCUGACCAUCAGUGGAGUCCAGGCUGAAGAUGCAGGAGAUUACUACUGUCAGAGUUACCACAGUGGUGAUGUGUUCACACAGUGAUACAGAGUCGUACAAAAACCUCCCUCAGUCAGACUGCACAGUGACUGUACUGAUACAGCUGGGACCUACUGCAGGUGCUGAGGGGGAAGAGACAGUGACAGAGAGUGAAACA